rnacentral:misc_RNA from 1 species
UUUUUGAAUUCCGCGCUAUUUUGCGUCAUCAAAGUAUCGUGAGAAUUAACGAGAGUAGAAACAUGGCGGAGAGAAGUGGCACUUCGGAGAAAUCGAAGGAAAACAUAGCAAAAAGAAACUUCACAAGACCAUGCUAUUGAAUGUGGUGAUGAAGAGGGCCAGAAUUUGCCAGUGGAGCUGAACAGUGAAUCUUCACAAGACAAAUCUAACGAGAAUGACAUUGAAGGGGACCAGAAAUUGCCAGUGGAGCUUAAUCAUAUUAUUGAUGCGGUCGAUGAUGAACCAUAUGUUAGCUUUUUGGAUAACUGAACUGUAAGAAACAUUAAGAAGAAAAGACUGACUCAUAGAAGAUAAAAGCCUUAGUGGCACCAUCACAAAUUGUGAGACAUUUGAAUAUUCCAGAAGAAAUUAUUCAAGGACGUGCAGAAAUGUUGAAUAUUCCAGAAGAAAUUAUUCAAGGACAUGCAGAAAUGUUGUAUUUUAAAGAUUACCCUGUUUAGAGUUAAAAAUAGAAAAACCCUUCAGCAAAUUCCCAUUAUCAGCCAGACCGAUCUUUAACAACCUUGAUCUGUAGCGUCAUUAUAAUGGUUCCACUUGGUCUCUGUUAAGGGUUACUAGAGAUAGAUUGUGGGGGGUGGGGGAGGAACUUCUUAGAAUUGCCCUUGUCCGUCAGUCCAACCAAGAUUGUGUCGUUUCCUCAAAUACUAUUUGACCCAGAGUUAUCAAACCUCACAGGAUUGUAAUUCAGCACGGGAAGUUGUGCCCCAAGGUUUCACACAGCCAGACCAGAGUUAUUACCCUUGACUUAGUAAAACAUAUGCAUAAAAAGGGCCAAAGUUUCAGCCGCAUGUUUCUCUAGAAGAAUAUGAAACAUCACAGGAAAAUUACUCAGCAUGUGAUAAUGUGAACCUAGAGUUUUUGAUAGGAGAUAUCACUUAUCCAGACUAGAGUUAUUGCCCUUGAUUUAGUCAAAACAU